UGCAUGUCUAAGUAUAAGCAAUCUAUACAGUGAAACUGCGAAUGGCUCAUUAAAUCAGUUAUCGUUUAUUUGAUAGUACCUUACUACUUGGAUAACCGUGGUAAUUCUAGAGCUAAUACAUGCUAAAAAUCCCAACCUCUGGAAGGGAUGUAUUUAUUAGAUAAAAAACCAAUGCCUUCGGGCUCCUUGGUGAUUCAUGAUAACUUAACGAAUCGCAUGGCCUUGUGCCGGCGAUGGUUCAUUCAAAUUUCUGCCCUAUCAACUUUCGAUGGUAGGAUAGUGGCCUACCAUGGUUUCAACGGGUAACGGGGAAUUAGGGUUCUAUUCCGGAGAGGGAGCCUGAGAAACGGCUACCACAUCCAAGGAAGGCAGCAGGCGCGCAAAUUACCCAAUCCCGACACGGGGAGGUAGUGACAAUAAAUACUGAUACAGGGCCCUUUCGGGUCUUGUAAUUGGAAUGAGUACAAUUUAAAUCCCUUAACGAGGAACAAUUGGAGGGCAAGUCUGGUGCCAGCAGCCGCGGUAAUUCCAGCUCCAAUAGCGUAUAUUAAAGUUGUUGCAGUUAAAAAGCUCGUAGUUGAACCUUGGGUCUGGCUGGCCGGUCCGCCUCACCGCGUGCACUGGUCCGGCCGGACCUUUCCUUCUGGCUAACCUCAUGCCCUUUACUGGGUGUGCUGGGGAACCAGGACUUUUACUUUGAAAAAAUUAGAGUGUUCAAAGCAGGCAUUUGCUCGAAUACAUUAGCAUGGAAUAAUAGAAUAGGACGUGCGGUUCUAUUUUGUUGGUUUCUAGGACCGCCGUAAUGAUUAAUAGGGAUAGUCGGGGGCAUCCGUAUUCAAUUGUCAGAGGUGAAAUUCUUGGAUUUAUUGAAGACGAACUACUGCGAAAGCAUUUGCCAAGGAUGUUUUCAUUAAUCAGGAACGAAAGUUGAGGGAUCGAAGACGAUCAGAU
rnacentral:rRNA from 1 species